CAGGGAUUUGGGCUCCCAGACUAGGAAGGUGUCCUGCAGGAGGAGCUCGCCCUGCACCUCCAGGCCUUCCUCCAGACCUGGAGAAACAUCAGUCAGAUCAGACCAAACAGAAAAAAGUCUCCAGCAGAGUCACGGUAACGAAGCAGUGCCCCACGUCUUCUGGGAGCUGUUCGUAGUUCUCCAGUUCCUUCAGGAAGAUACUGAGGAACACAGAGAUGUCCUGGAUGUUUCCGAACACGACGUCGUCCUUGUUGGUGAGUCCAGGUGGGAUUUCCUCCGAGCCGCUGGUCAUCUCCCACAGGUACGUCUGCAACGGCAAACCGAGUCACUUCAGCUUCUCCUGCCACUUCUUACGGGGAAAUCAACACUUCCUACACAACUUUCACUUCAAACAUUUACAGAAUAUCUGGUUCAUUUGGUCAGAGAAUGUUUUCUGGAACAAUCUUUGUUCAAUCAGCUGAGUAACUCCUGACUGUGGACAUUUAAAGGGACAUAGUGGCAUUUUGUUGCAAAACCAAGUAACUAUGUUACUUUCAGUUGUUAUAAAAUUGCUAUAAAUAUCAAUCAUUUUGCUUCCUGAUUGAACUCCUUGAAAUUCCACCAGCUCCACCAGCUGUUUGCUAAUUGCUGCUGGCUAGUCUGCAGGAGCCGAGAAGGGGAGGAGCUGCACCUCAAAGGCGGGGCUAGGUCCAAUCAGGUGUUUCGCAGCUGAAUGGUUGCCAUGGAGAUUAAAGGACUUCUCAAACAUGCAUGAAAGAAUCAAGGCAACACUUCAGGAACGUUUUAGUAACCAGAAUUGUGAUGUACUCACAGUAAAAACAUUAAAUCAUUAAGUUCAGAUGUUUAAUUAUUGAGCUAAUCCUCCAGGUUUUACCUCGAUG